AUUGAACGCUGGCGGCAGGCCUAACACAUGCAAGUCGAGCGAGCGGCGCACGGGUGAGUAAUGUAUGGGGGACUGCCCGUGAGAGGGGGGUAACUACUGGAAAAGGUGGCUAAUACCGCAUACUGCCGGAUGUACCCACAUGGGAUUAGCUAGUAGGUAAGGUAAUGGCUUACCUAGGCGACGAUCCCUAGCUGGUCUGAGAGGAUGAUCAGCCACACUGGAACUGAGACACGGCCCAGACUCCUACGGGAGGCAGCAGUGGGGAAUAUUGCACAAUGGGCGCAAGCCUGAUGCAGCCAUGCCGCGUGUAUGAAGAAGGCCUUCGGGUUGUAAAGUACUUUCAGUGGGGAGGCGUUACCCGCAGAAGAAGCACCGGCUAACUCCGUGCCAGCAGCCGCGGUAAUUC
rnacentral:rRNA from 1 species